AAGAGGUUAAGUAAUUUCAUAUCAAGAAAUCGUCACACUCACAAGCUCUCUUUGCUUCAGCUUGUCUCUCGUUGGCUUGGUCUCUUCUCAUAGAAUUAAAUUCUCUAUUCUCUAUCUCAGAGCUGAGAGCUUCUUGGUUCAUUGUUUAAUUUGUGGGUUUUCCCCUCUUUCAUCUCUUUCUCAUGGAAAUCUUUGUUUCAUCGUUUUCAGAGCUGCAUCUGCGUCUUCUUCCACAAAAGCUAUCCUCGCUGCAAUUGCUGAGCACCAUCCUGGUUCUGUGGUAUUUUUCACUCCAAUCCUGGGCAAGAGUAGGACAGAGGGAAGCCAUGAUCCAAUGGAGAAAAUCUUUGAGAUGCUGACUACCGAACGUGAAGCUCGUGAAGAAGAAUGUCAACAACUGAAUUACACUUCUAACGCUUAGAGACCAUGGUGGAAAACAUGAUGUAGUAAGAUGAAGAAUGCUCUUUACAAAGAAAACCAUGAAGGAGAAGGCCCAUCCAGGCGCAUCACUCAUGAAGAGGAAACUGCAAAUGACAGCAACAACAAACAGUGGUGAAAGUUGAAAAUUCCUGUUUAUGAUGGAGAGUGGAGACACUGAUACUGAUAGUUGGCUGAACAAUUUGGAGAGAUUCUUCCAAAUAUGAGGAAUUCUAGAAGGAGAGAAACUGCAAGCAAUUAUGGCGCCAUUGGAUGGAAAAGCUUUAUCUUGGUUCCAAUAGUGGGAAGCAUGCAAUCCACACACAUCACUGCAAUCCACAAUUUGGAGAGAUUCUUUGAUGUUUAGAAUUGAUAAUAUAGCUUAAUGACUGGUUUAAAUUUUUCUGAGUUUCAUAUUUGUUUAAUUGCUUCCUAAGUUAGCUUGGACCCUACUUUUACAUGAUUCAACAAGUGUAUUAGUAAGUGUGAUUAUUUUGCAA